rnacentral:rRNA from 1 species
AUUGAACGCUGGCGGCAGGCCUAACACAUGCAAGUCGAGCGAGCGGCGGACGGGUGAGUAAUGUCUGGGAAUCUGCCCGAUAGAGGGGGAUAACUACUGGAAACGGUGGCUAAUACCGCAUACUAUCGGAUGUGCCCAUAUGGGAUUAGCUGGUAGGUGGGGUAACGGCUCACCUAGGCGACGAUCUCUAGCUGGUCUGAGAGGAUGACCAGCCACACUGGAACUGAGACACGGCCCAGACUCCGACGGGAGGCAGCAGUGGGGAAUAGUGCACAAUGGGCGCAAGCCUGAUGCAGCCAUGCCGCGUGUAUGAAGAAGGCCUUCGGGUUGUAAAGUACUUUCAGCGGGGAGGCGUUACCCGCAGAAGAAGCACCGGCUAACUCCGUGCCAGCAGCCGCGGUAAUUC